UACGAAGGGGGCUAGCGUUGCUCGGAAUCACUGGGCGUAAAGCGCACGUAGGCGGAUCUUUAAGUCAGGGGUGAAAUCCCAAGGCUCAACCUUGGAACUGCGUUUGAUACUGGGGAUCUCGAGUCCGGAAGAGGUGAGUGGAACUGCGAGUGUAGAGGUGAAAUUCGUAGAUAUUCGCAAGAACACCAGUGGCUAAGGCGGCUCACUGGUCCGGUACUGACGCUGAGGUGCGAAAGCGUGGGGAGCAAACAGG
rnacentral:rRNA from 1 species